AUACGGAGGGUCCAAGCGUUAUCCGGAAUCAUUGGGUUUAAAGGGUUCGCAGGCGGUUUAAUAAGUCAGUGGUGAAAUCUCGGGGCUCAACCUCGAAACUGCCAUUGAUACUGUUAGACUUGAAUACAGUUGGAGUAGGCGGAAUGUGUAGUGUAGCGGUGAAAUGCUUAGAUAUUACACAGAACACCGAUAGCGAAGGCAGCUUACUAAACUGUGAUUGACGCUCAUGAACGAAAGCGUGGGGAGCGAACAGGAUUAGAAACCCUAGUAGUCC
rnacentral:rRNA from 1 species